UUGGUGGGGUGAUGGCCCACCAAGGCGACGACGGGUAGCCGGCCUGAGAGGGUGUCCGGCCACACUGGGACUGAGAUACGGCCCAGACUCCUACGGGAGGCAGCAGUGGGGAAUAUUGCACAAUGGGCGCAAGCCUGAUGCAGCGACGCCGCGUGGGGGAUGACGGCCUUCGGGUUGUAAACCUCUUUCACCAUCGGCGAAGCCGGGAGCUUUUGUUUCUGGUGACGGUAGGUGGAGAAGAAGCACCGGCCAACUACGUGCCAGCAGCCGCGGUAAUACGUAGGGUGCGAGCGUUGUCCGGAAUUACUGGGCGUAAAGAGCUCGUAGGUGGUUUGUCGCGUUGUCCGUGAAAUUCCCUGGCUUAACUGGGGGCGUGCGGGCGAUACGGGCAGACUGGAGUACUGCAGGGGAGACUGGAAUUCCUGGUGUAGCGGUGGAAUGCGCAGAUAUCAGGAGGAACACCGGUGGCGAAGGCGGGUCUCUGGGCAGUAACUGACGCUGAGGAGCGAAAGCGUGGGGAGCGAACAGGAUUAGAUACCCUGGUAGUCCACGCCGUAAACGGUGGGUACUAGGUGUGGGUUUCCUUCCUUGGGAUCCGUGCCGUAGCUAACGCAUUAAGUACCCCGCCUGGGGAGUACGG
rnacentral:rRNA from 1 species